UGGGGGAUAUUGCACAAUGGGCGAAAGCCUGAUGCAGCGACGCCGCGUGGGGGAUGAAGGCUUUCGGGUUGUAAACCUCUUUCGCUAUCGAACAAGGCCCGCUUAGGGUGGGUUGAGGGUAGGUGGAGAAGAAGCGCCGGCUAACUACGUGCCAGCAGCCGCGGUAAUACGUAGGGCGCGAGCGUUGUCCGGAAUUAUUGGGCGUAAAGGGCUUGUAGGCGGCUUGUUGCGCCUGCUGUGAAAACGCGGGGCUUAACUUCGCGCGUGCAGUGGGUACGGGGAGGCGUGAGUGUGGUAGGGGUGACUGGAAUUCCAGGUGUAGCGGUGGAAUGCGCAGAUAUCUGGAGGAACACCGAUGGCGAAGGCAGGUCACUGGGCCAUUACUGACGCUGAGGAGCGAAAGCAUGGGUAGCGAACAGG
rnacentral:rRNA from 1 species